UACGUAGGGUGCGAGCGUUGUCCGGAAUUAUUGGGCGUAAAGAGCUCGUAGGCGGUCUGUCGCGUCAUGCUGUGAAAUCCCGAGGCUCAACCUCGGGCUUGCAGUGGGUACGGGCAGGCUAGAGUGCGGUAGGGGAGAAUGGAACUCCUGGUGUAGCGGUGGAAUGCGCAGAUAUCAGGAAGAACACCCGUGGCGAAGGCGGCUCUCGUGGGACGGUACUGACGCUGAGACGCGAAAGCGUGGGGAGCGAACAGGG
rnacentral:rRNA from 1 species